UACAGCUUCCAUCGAUCGGACGCCGAGCUCGCCGAUGGAACGGGUGGACGUUUUUACAGCGCCACCUCAUUUAUUUGGGUCCAAAGCAUCUGCAGUUACCUGGAGUACGACUCACUAUCCAGGUUCUUGGAGGUGACCUGACCACGUCGGCGUGAGGUUUCAUUCGGAAUAGCGUCGUAUAGCCGGCACGCGCACACGGUGGUGGGGUUUGUUUCGCAAAUACAAUACAGUAGGCAAUAGUAAUGGGCGUGUUACAGCAAAAGUUGGCAAGGCAAGACCUCACCGCCUGGAUCUGGACGGCACAUAAGAGAUCGGACGGCGUCCGAUAGCCACAGUGCAGAGUACCCCGAGCUGGCCGAGUUCAUAUAAGACGCAGUACCCAUGCCCGAUCCCUUCCUCAGUCCCUCCCUCUCCCACCCCAAACCUCCACUGGGUUCCCACUCCAUGCGGCUCUGAAAUCUCCCAUACAUACUGCGCCCUGGAGCUGUGGCUCGGCGUCACCACCACCGCACCGCCUCUCGCGCGCGUACGUCGCCGGCCGCCGCCGCGGUCCCCGUUGUACCUCAUGGCGUCGCGGCUGCCUCCACCCCGAUGGCGGUCUUGGACACUGGUAUUUGAGAUAGACAGGACCAACUGCAAGGCAGCCGAGCCUCGCGGGCAGGAGGAGUUGCACACACAUGGAGAGUUCAGACCGAGAGGAUUCUGGCCACGGGGAGCACCGUCGGCGCUGAUUCGCCCAUAGCAAAAAUAUGGUGUUAUCCUGAUUGAGCUUUUCUUCUACCCACCAUCCUCCCCCUUCGUUUCCUCCUCUUCUUGCUGCGUUGUUUGGGUCUUCUUGACCUUGCAAGACCUUUUCUUGACCUUGUAAGACCCAACAAUGCCACAUUUCCCCUCACGUUCUUCAUCUUCUUAUUCCACCUCCUUUCCCUGGCCAUGUUCCUUUUCACCCCUCUCUCUUCCAUCUUUCUUCCAUCUAUCCCUCCUGAGCUACAUUUUCUUAUAGUUGGAUUUUUUAUAUUCAAAGUAUUGGGAACAAGAUGAUACCAUGGAGUGACAAGUGAAGGAGAUUCUACCUCCUUUGUCAUACACGUGUGUAGAUUCAUCAUCCCCACGUUGUAUUUUCCUCUUUUGUUUUGGUUGUAGAGAGUAAAGUUGAUCAGAUACAAAAGCACGGACCUUGUCGCCAUAAUGCUCAUGCACGUGGAGUAGGAGCCUACAUGUAAUUGAGCAUGUUUAUGUAUGCCAAUGUUGUAAUGAGUUUGCUAUUCCUGCUUGAAUAGAAGCAUUUUGAUGCUGUGGUACUGUUGAGAAGAA